rnacentral:rRNA from 1 species
GUCGAACGAAGCAUAUAAAAGGAAUUUCUUCGGAGAGGAAUUUUAUAUGACUGAGUGGCGGACGGGUGAGUAACGCGUGGGCAACCUACCCCACACAGGGGGACAACAGUUGGAAACGACUGCUAAUACCGCAUAGGCGCACAGCUUCGCAUGAAGCAGUGUGGAAAACCGAGGUGGUGUGGGAUGGGCCCGCGUCUGAUUAGCUAGUUGGCGGGGUAACGGCCCACCAAGGCGACGAUCAGUAGCCGGCCUGAGAGGGUGGACGGCCACAUUGGGACUGAGACACGGCCCAAACUCCUACGGGAGGCAGCAGUGGGGAAUAUUGCACAAUGGGGGAAACCCUGAUGCAGCGACGCCGCGUGAGCGAAGAAGUAUUUCGGUAUGUAAAGCUCUAUCAGCAGGGAAGAAAAUGACGGUACCUGACUAAGAAGCCCCGGCUAAAU